AGAACGAACGCUGGCGGCAUGCCUAACACAUGCAAGUCGAACGAGAUCUUCGGAUCUAGUGGCGCACGGGUGCGUAACGCGUGGGAAUCUGCCUUUCGGUACGGAAUAACUCAUGGAAACGUGUGCUAAUACCGUAUGAUGGUCGCGAGGACCGAAGAUUUAUCGCCGAGAGAUGAGCCCGCGUAGGAUUAGCUAGUUGGUGGGGUAAAGGCCUACCAAGGCGACGAUCCUUAGCUGGUCUGAGAGGAUGAUCAGCCCACACUGGGACUGAGACACGGCCCAGACUCCUACGGGAGGCAGCAGUGGGGAAUAUUGGACAAUGGGCGCAAGCCUGAUCCAGCAAUGCCGCGUGAGUGAUGAAGGCCUUAGGGUUGUAAAGCUCUUUUACCCGGGAAGAUAAUGACUGUACCGGAGAAUAAGCCCGGCUAACUCCGCGCCAGCAGCCGC
rnacentral:rRNA from 1 species